GUGCUUGCUGGGGUGUCCACUGGGUCUGGUUGUGGAGAUUUGCAGGCUAUUUUGGUAGUUUUCUCAUCAGUCGUGGGCUUGUCAGUGCCUGGUGUCUGGAAGAGCUCUUUGAAGCCAGCCAGGUCUUCUAGAGCCUGGGCCUUUUCCUUACGAGUUUGUAGCCGUCUAUUGCUGCCAGGUAAAUUUCCUGGCUGGUCCAGUUUCUGCACUGGAGUUCCCAAAAA
rnacentral:misc_RNA from 1 species